rnacentral:rRNA from 1 species
AACGAACGCUGGCGGCAGGCCUAACACAUGCAAGUCGAACGCUCGUAGCAAUACGAGAGUGGCAGACGGGUGAGUAACACGUGGGAACCUUCCCUAUGGUUCGGAAUAGCCCAGGGAAACUUGGGGUAAUACCGGAUAAGCCCUUACGGGGAAAGAUUCAUCGCCAUUGGAUGGGCCCGCGUCGGAUUAGCUAGUUGGUGGGGUAACGGCUCACCAGGGCGACGAUCCGUAGCUGGUCUGAGAGGAUGAUCAGCCACACUGGGACUGAGACACGGCCCAGACUCCUACGGGAGGCAGCAGUGGGGAAUAUUGGACAAUGGGCGCAAGCCUGAUCCGGCCAUGCCGCGUGAGUGACGAAGGCCUUAGGGUUGUAAAGCUCUUUUGGCGGGGAAGAUAAUGACGGUACCCGCAGAAUAAGCUCCGGCUAACUUCGUGCCAGCCGCCGCCGUAACAC